CUGCAGGUUACAGGCCUCUUCCUGUGGAGUCGGUUUGCUGCUGCUGUCACACAUGGCAUCUGACACCUGGACAUGGGAGGCGCUGCACUCAGUGACACCAGUCAUUUUCCAGUUGAAGUCUCUGUCACGUCUGGCUGGUGGCACAUUAGGUACCUGGUUGUCUGGAAGGGGAGAAGGGAUUCUGUCACCACUGGCUGUGCCAAAGUUCUCCUGGUGAGUGCUGCUCUGAUGAUGGCCGUGCCCCCCCUGCUCUGUCACAGUGUUUCCUAAAAUGUACAAACAGGUGAUGUAUUGUUUAAUACUGUUUAAGACUUUUGUGAAAAAAAGAGAUUUCAAAAUUAAAAAAAGGCUUAAUAAUAUAUUAAAACAUUUAUGAAAAGUC